rnacentral:rRNA from 1 species
CCAAAAAGAGAGGGAGGCAUGGGCUUCCGAGAUCUUAGGUUGUUUAAUCAAGCUCUUUUGGCUAAGCAGGCGUGGAGGUUACUGGUGAGUCCAGAUUCAUUAUGUGCUAAGGUCUUGAGGGCCAAAUAUUAUCCUAAUGGUCAGAUCUUGGAUACUGCAUUCCCGCAAGCUACUUCUGUGAAUUGGCAAGACAUUAUGCAUGGA